GACGAACGCUGGCGGCGUGCCUAAUACAUGCAAGUAGAACGCUGAAGGAGGAGCUUGCUUCUCUGGAUGAGUUGCGAACGGGUGAGUAACGCGUAGGUAACCUGCCUGGUAGCGGGGGAUAACUAUUGGAAACGAUAGCUAAUACCGCAUAAGAGUAGAUGUUGCAUGACAUUUGCUUAAAAGGUGCAAUUGCAUCACUACCAGAUGGACCUGCGUUGUAUUAGCUAGUUGGUGGGGUAACGGCUCACCAAGGCGACGAUACAUAGCCGACCUGAGAGGGUGAUCGGCCACACUGGGACUGAGACACGGCCCAGACUCCUACGGGAGGCAGCAGUAGGGAAUCUUCGGCAAUGGACGGAAGUCUGACCGAGCAACGCCGCGUGAGUGAAGAAGGUUUUCGGAUCGUAAAGCUCUGUUGUAAGAGAAGAACGAGUGUGAGAGUGGAAAGUUCACACUGUGACGGUAUCUUACCAGAAAGGGACGGCUAACUACGUGCCAGCAGCCGCGGUAAUACGUAGGUCCCGAGCGUUGUCCGGAUUUAUUGGGCGUAAAGCGAGCGCAGGCGGUUAGAUAAGUCUGAAGUUAAAGGCUGUGGCUUAACCAUAGUACGCUUUGGAAACUGUUUAACUUGAGUGCAAGAGGGGAGAGUGGAAUUCCAUGUGUAGCGGUGAAAUGCGUAGAUAUAUGGAGGAACACCGGUGGCGAAAGCGGCUCUCUGGCUUGUAACUGACGCUGAGGCUCGAAAGCGUGGGGAGCAAACAGG
rnacentral:rRNA from 1 species